rnacentral:misc_RNA from 1 species
GAUGAAGAACGUAGCGAAAUGCGAUACUUGGUGUGAAUUGCAGAAUCCCGCGAAUCAUCGAGUUUUUGAACGCAAGUUGCGCCCGAAGCCAUUCGGCCGAGGGCACGUCUGCCUGGGUGUCACGCAUCGUUGCCCCCCCCAAACUCCGGUUCGGGCAGGGCGGAAGUUGGCCUCCCGUGCGUGCCUGCGCGCGCGGUUAGCCCAAAAGCGAGUCCUCGGCGACGAGCGCCACGACAAUCGGUGGUUUUUUUACCCUCGUUCCUCGUCGUGCGUGCCCCGUCGCCCGAACGCGCUCUUGUGACCCUCACGCGUCGCCUCGGCGGCGCUCCCAACGCGACCCCAGGUCAGGCGGGACUACCCGCUGAGUUUAAGCAUAUCAUAAGCGGAGGA